ensembl:lncRNA
AACAACUACCUCUUUCCCUACUGCAUUUUAUUUAUUUAUUUAUUUUGCUCCUUUGCACCCCAUUAUUUUUAUUUCUACUUUGCACAUUCUCCCAUUGCAAAUCUACCAUUCCAGUGUUUUACUUGCUAUAUUGUAUUUACUUUGCCACCAUGGCCUUUUUGCCUUUACCUCCCUUAUCUCACCUCAUUUGCUCACAUCGUAUAUAGACUUGUUUAUACUGUAUUAUUGACUGUAUGUUUGUUUUACUCCAUGUGUAACUCUGUGUCGUUGUAUGUGUCGAACUGCUAUGCUUUAUCUUGGCCAGGUCGCAGUUGUAAAUGAGAACUUGUUCUCAACUAGCCUACCUGGUUAAAUAAAGGUGAAAUAUAUAUUUUUUUUAAUUAUGGAACCCACAGACAGGUCAUAUAUCCUACCACAUUAUGGAACCCACAGACAGUUCAUAUAUCCUACCACAUUAUUGAACCCACAGACACACAGCAGGGUCAUAUAUCCUACCACAUUAUGGAACAGAAACACAGACAGCUCAUUUAUCUUACCACAUUAUGGAACAGACACACAGUUCAUAUAUCCUACUACAUUAUGGGACAGACACACAGUGGGGUCAUAUAUCCUACCACAUUAUGGAACACACAGACACACAGUAGGGUCAUAUAUCCUACCACAUUAUGGAACAGACACACAGCAGGGUCAUAUAUCCUACCACAUUAUUGAACCCACAGACAGUUCAUAUAUCCUACCACAUUAUGGAACAGACACACAGAGGGGUCAUAUAUCAUACCACAUUAUGGAACAGACACACAGACAGGUCAUAUAUCCUACCACAUUAUGGAACAGACACACAGAGGGGUCAUAUAUCAUACCACAUUAUGGAACAGACACACAGACAGGUCAUAUAUCCUACCACAUUAUGGAACAGACACACAGACAGGUCAUAUAUCCUACCACAUUAUGGAACCCACAGACACACAGACAGUUCAUCUAUCCUACCACAUUAUGGAACAGACACACAGCAGGGUCAUAUAUCCUACCACAUUAUGGAACAGACACACAGACAGUUCAUCUAUCCUACCACAUUAUGGAACAGACACACAGACAGUUCAUCUAUCCUACCACAUUAUGGAACAGACACACAGACAGGUCAUAUAUCCUACCACAUUAUGGAACAGACACACAGCAGGGUCAUAUAUCCUACCACAUUAUGGAACAGACACACAGACAGGUCAUAUAUUCUACCACAUUAUGGAACAGACACACAGACAGGUCAAUAUAUCAUACCACAUUAUGGAACAGACACACAGCAGGGUCAUAUAUCCUACCACAUUAUGGAACCCACAGACACACAGACAGUUCAUCUAUCCUACCACAUUAUGGAACAGACACACAGCAGGGUCAUAUAUCCUACCACAUUAUGGAACACACAGACACACAGCAGGGUCAUAUAUCCUACCACAUUAUGGAACCCACAGACACACAGACAGUUCAUCUAUCCUACCACAUUAUGGAACAGACACACAGCAGGGUCAUAUAUCCUACCACAUUAUGGAACACACAGACACACAGACAGUUCAUCUAUCCUACCACAUUAUGGAACAGACACACAGACAGUUCAUAUAUCCUACCACAUUAUGGAACACACAGACACACAGACAGGUCAUAUAUCCUACCACAUUAUGGAACAGACACACAGCAGGGUCAUAUAUCCUGCCACAUUAUGGAACACACAGACACACAGUAGGGUCAUAUAUCCUACCACAUUAUGGAACAGACACACAGACAGGUCAUAUAUCCUACCACAUUAUGGAACACACAGACACACAGCAGGGUCAUAUAUCCUACCACAUUAUGGAACAGACACACAGCAGGGUCAUAUAUCCUACCACAUUAUGGAACAGACACACAGACAGUUCAUAUAUCCUACCACAUUAUGGAACAGACACACAGCAUGGUCAUAUAUCCUACCACAUUAUGGAACAGACACACAGACAGGUCAUAUAUCCUACCACAUUAUGGAACAGACACACAGCAGGAUCAGCCAGGAGGGGUGUAUGAUGUCUAAAAGCGUUGUGAUUAUUUAGAGAGCGUCGCCAUAGUGACAUGAUGUGCUGGAUUCAGCACUAUAGACAGACUCCCCAGUGUUAUAAAUAUCUAAUGGUUUCUAAUGGAGUUCCUGCUGUGA